GAUGAAGAACGUAGCGAAAUGCGAUAAGUAGUGUGAAUUGCAGAAUUCAGUGAAACAUCGAAUCUUUGAACGCACAUUGCGCCCCUUGGUAUCCCGAGGGGCAUGCCUGUUCGAGCGUCAUUUCACCACUCAAGCCUGGCUUGGUGUUGGGCGACGUCCUCUUUGGGGACGCGCCUCGAAACGCUCGGCGGCGUGGCACCGGCUUUAAGCGUAGCAGAAUCUUUCGCUUUGGAAGUCGGGGCCCCGUCUGCCGGAAGACCUGCUCGCAAGGUUGACCUCGGAUCAGGCAGGGAUACCCGCUGAACUUAAGCAUAUCAAUAAGCGGAGGA
rnacentral:misc_RNA from 1 species